rnacentral:lncRNA from 1 species
AUGAAGUGGCUGUGGAAAUGUGUUUGAGUAGACUGCUUCUAUUCUUAUCAUCUAUUAUGAUUAUAUUGGAAGUGGUAGGUUCUCCCUUAAAGUGUUUUUGGCAUAUCAUACAAUAAAUAACAUGGAGCUGGAUUCAGCAGAGGUCCAAAGUUCCAGUUCUCGCACAUUUGGAAAUCUAGGAUGUUGCUUGCCCUUUUUAAUGUAUUAAAGUACCUGCUUGCAAUUUCCACUAUUUGAAGGUUCUUUUUUCCCAGCUUGAGAAAGUAGGUCUUCAUGGGUUUUGUGGUUAGAGGUAGCGAAAGGGAUUCAGUAGACAGCAGCACUAGAACUAAUAUUGCGAUCUACAUAGAAGAAUGAGGCAAUGGCAGUAGGAGAAAUCCAUUAUGUACUCACAAGAGUUAGUGGAGAGAUGCUUCGUAGUUUCUGUUUUGUCCUCUCAAUAGGUCACUUGUGUCCAUCUGAGAUUGCUUUUUACAUUCUGACAGAUGCUUCUCUGUUCACAGAUGCAGGAUAAGCUGUCAGAUUCAAAUAAUUGAGCAGGGGAGCUAAUAAAGCAGCUUCCUCUUGUUGGCUAGGUAUGCAGAUAUACUUGUGAUCUUUCCAAAUCUUGUGCUUACAUAAUCUGUUAUAAAGGAGGAUUUUUUUUCCUUGAUGCUAUGCCUUGCAGUUUACUAAAGUGUACAUUACAUGCCUGUACUGAAGUUCUUUAAUAACAAGGUCAUGUUGAAUGUUACACCAUGUAAGAAGGUUGGGCGAAUCUGAACACCACGAAAAAUUGAGAACAGCGUUAUGUCAAAAGAAGCAUGUUGAGGGUUAUUCUCCGAUAUACCAAAUGCAUAAUGUUUGGAGAGAAACCAGGUUAAGGCAGAUGUUAAUUGUCACCCUCCUUUGUUACUAUUAUUGAUCUUUUGGCUCAAUAUUCUGGCCAUGUAUUUCCAUUUUUCUUUGUUAUGUUGAAUAAAAUAAAGUUUUCCCCCUCAUUUACCACCCCUGAUACUAUUUAUAAUCCACUUGUGUAUUUUUCAUUUUAUGAUGUUCCAUAUAUUCUCUUGUUUUCUU